rnacentral:tRNA from 1 species
GAGGGUAUAGCUCAAGUGGUAGAGUGCCUGCUUAGCUUGCUUAGCACCCUUAGCAUGGGAGGUCCUGGGUUCAAUUCCCAGUACCGCCU